rnacentral:rRNA from 1 species
GACGAACGCUGGCGGCGUGCUUAACACAUGCAAGUCGAACGGAAAGGCCCUGCUUUUGUGGGGUGCUCGAGUGGCGAACGGGGGAGUAAAACGUGAGUAACCUGCCCUUGACUUCGGGAUAACUUCAGGAAAAUGGGGCUAAUACCGGAUAGGAGCUCUUGCUGCAUGGGGGGGGUUGGAAAGUUUCGGCGGUUGGGGAUGGACUCGCGGCUUAGCAGCUUGUUGGUGGGGUAGUGGCUUACCAAGGCUUUGACGGGUAGCCGGCCUGGGAGGCUGACCGGCCCCAUUGGCACUGAGAUACGGCCCAGACUCCUACGGGAGGCAGCGGUGGGGAAUAUUGCACAAUGGGCCGAGGCCUGAUGCAGCAACGCCGCGUGCGGGAUGACUGCCUUCGGGUUGUAAACCUCUUUCGCCUGUGACGAAGCGUGAGUGACGGUAAUUGGUAAGAAAGCACCGGCUAACUACGUG